rnacentral:tRNA from 13 species
GGGAUGUAGCUCAGCUGGGAGAGCAUCACGUUCGCAACGUGGGGGUCGUGGGUUCGAAUCCCAUCAUCUCC